AUUGAACGCUGGCGGCAGGCCUAACACAUGCAAGUCGAGCGGAGCGGCGGACGGGUGAGUAAUGCCUAGGAAUCUGCCUGGUCGUGGGGGAUCAGGUCCGGAAACGGGCGCUAAUACCGCAUACCAUCAGAUGCGCCGAGGGCGGGUUAGCUGGUUGGUGGGGUAAAGGCUUACCAAGGCGACGACCCGUAACUGGUCUGAGAGGAUGAUCAGGCACACUGGAACUGAGACACGGUCCAGACUCCUACGGGAGGCAGCAGUGGGGAAUAUUGGACAAUGGGCGAAAGCCUGAUCCAGCCAUGCCGCGUGUGUGAAGAAGGUCUUCGGAUUGUAAAGCACUUUAAGUUGGGAGGCGUGACCAACAGAAUAAGCACCGGCUAACUUCGUGCCAGCCGCCGCGGUAAUUC
rnacentral:rRNA from 1 species